CCUACGGGUGGCUGCAGUGGGGAAUAUUGCACAAUGGGCGCAAGCCUGAUGCAGCCAUGCCGCGUGUGUGAAGAAGGCCUUCGGGUUGUAAAGCACUUUCAGCGGGGAGGAAGGCGUUAAGGUUAAUAACCUUGGCGAUUGACGUUACCCGCAGAAGAAGCACCGGCUAACUCCGUGCCAGCAGCCGCGGUAAUACGGAGGGUGCAAGCGUUAAUCGGAAUUACUGGGCGUAAAGCGCACGCAGGCGGUCUGUCAAGUCGGAUGUGAAAUCCCCGGGCUCAACCUGGGAACUGCAUUCGAAACUUGCAGGCUAGAGUCUUGUAGAGGGGGGUAGAAUUCCAGGUGUAGCGGUGAAAUGCGUAGAGAUCUGGAGGAAUACCGGUGGCGAAGGCGGCCCCCUGGACAAAGACUGACGCUCAGGUGCGAAAGCGUGGGGAGCAAACAGGAUUAGAUACCCGAGUAGUC
rnacentral:rRNA from 1 species